CGCGUAGGCGGUCUGAUAAGUCAGUUGUGAAAGCCCGGGGCUCAACCCCGGAAGUGCAAUUGAAACUGUCAGGCUUGAGUAUGGUAGAGGGAAGUGGAAUUCCUGGUGUAGCGGUGAAAUGCGUAGAUAUCAGGAGGAACACCGGUGGCGAAGGCGGCUUCCUGGACCAAUACUGACGCUGAGGCGCGAAGGUGUGGGUAGCAAACAGGAUUAGAUACCCUGGUAGUC
rnacentral:rRNA from 1 species